GAUGAACGCUGGCGGCGUGCUUAAUACAUGCAAGUCGAACGAAGAGUCUUUGUAGCAAUACGAGGGCUUCUUAGUGGCGAACGGGUGCGUAACGCGUUGGUGACCUGCCCCGAAGUGUGGGAUAACAGUUCGAAAGAACUGCUAAUACCGCAUGUGGACACGAGGGGUAGAGGCGUUGUGUCUAAAGCAGUCAGGCGCUUUGGGAGGGACCGGCGUCCCAUCAGCUAGGUGGGGAGGUAACGGCCCACCAAGGCGUCGACGGGUAGGGGACCUGAGAGGGUGGUCCCCCACACUGGCACUGAAACAUGGGCCAGACUCCGACGGGAGGCAGCAGUGGGGAAUUUUGGACAAUGGGCGCAAGCCUGAUCCAGCCAUGCCGCGUGCGGGAAGAAGGCCUUCGGGUUGUAAACCGCUUUUGUCAGGGAAGAAACGCUCUGGGCUAAUACCCCGGGGUAAUGACGGUACCUGAAGAAUAAGCACCGGCUAACUACGUGCCAGCCGCCGCAGUAAUAC
rnacentral:rRNA from 1 species